rnacentral:rRNA from 1 species
AGCGGUGAAAUGCGUAGAGAUCUGGAGGAAUACCGGUGGCGAAGGCGGCCCCCUGGACGAAGACUGACGCUCAGGUGCGAAAGCGUGGGGAGCAAACAGGAUUAGAUACCCUGGUAGUCCACGCCGUAAACGAUGUCGACUUGGAGGUUGUGCCCUUGAGGCGUGGCUUCCGGAGCUAACGCGUUAAGUCGACCGCCUGGGGAGUACGGCCGCAAGGUUAAAACUCAAAUGAAUUGACGGGGGCCCGCACAAGCGGUGGAGCAUGUGGUUUAAUUCGAUGCAACGCGAAGAACCUUACCUGGUCUUGACAUCCACGGAAGUUUUCAGAGAUGAGAAUGUGCCUUCGGGAAC